GAUGAACGCUGGCGGCGUGCCUAAUACAUGCAAGUCGAGCGAACAGACGAGUAGCUUGCUCCUCUGACGUUAGCGGCGGACGUGUGAGUAACACGUGGAUAACCUACCUAUAAGACUGGGAUAACUUCGGGAAACCGGAGCUAAUACCGGAUAAUAUAUUGAACAGCAUGGUUCAAUAGUGAAAGACGGUUUUGCUGUCACUUAUAGAUGGAUCCGCGCCCCAUUAGCUAGUUGGUAAGGUACCGGCUUACCAAGGCCACGAUGCGUAGCCGACCUGUGAGCGUGAUCGGCCACACUGGAACUGAGACACGGUCCAGCCUCCUACGGCAGGCAGCAGCAGGGAAUCUUCCCCAAUGGGCGAAAGCUUGCCGGAGCAACGCCGCCUGCGCGAUGAAGGUCUUCUGAUCGUAAACCUCUGUUAGCCGGGAAGAACCAAUGUGUAAGUAACUCUGUACGUCCUGACGGUACCCAAUCAGAAAGCCACGGCUAGCUACGGG
rnacentral:rRNA from 1 species